GGAAACCGAAAACUCGGCGGCCGAGGCUCCGUGCCCCGCGCGCAGCGCUGCUCCUGCCCCGGCCAAGGACGCACGGGCCAGCCGGCGGAACCAGAGGUUUUCAGUGAUGUUGAGAGUCAACAGGAAAUUAAUCAGCAAGUAGAAAAUUGAAAGAAGAUCUGCAUCUUACUGCAGGAGUCAUUAAAAUAAAAGCAGAUUUGGCAAAAUGGCAAGAACCAGAGGAUGAGGAUGUAAAACAAAAACUUUUGGAGUCAUUUUGCCACCAGGAUGAAAAUAGGAUGAAGCUGACAUGACAAAGGUGCAGGUGUUCUGAUAUGAGAAGAACUUCUUCAGAAGGUAUCUUAAUGCAUAUGGGGAAACUGAGGCCCAGUUGUCAUAGCCUUCUCCAGCAUGUGUUCCUUCUGUAUUUCAGACAUGGCAGAGGAGACACAGCAAUAACUAAGGGGCAACUAUUGCAUCCAGAAAAAAAAAAAAUGAAGAUAAUGACUUCUCUGCAACUAAGAUGAAGAUCCACUGAACUUUGGGGUUUGAAAUGCAACGUUAGAACUUCAGACUCCCGGCACCUAGGUCUCCAGCUGCUGGGUGGUGCCAGCAUCAGAGAUACACUCUGCAAAACAUAUACUGUCUUAGGAAAAAGUGACCCUGUUGUCCUUUCAGGCCCAUAUUCCACAAGAAGACAAAUGGAGAUGUAAAAGGAAAACUGCAGCUCCGACUGAAGAGAGAGCAAGUUGUCUGUUCUGAUACAGCCAGGAAAUAAGAUGUUCUGGUUAAUAUGUGCUAAAGAUGUGGUGCUGACUUUCCGACUCAGAAUAUGAUCACAUGUUUUUCUCAUUAAAACUAUAUUGAAUAU
rnacentral:lncRNA from 1 species